rnacentral:rRNA from 1 species
UACGAAGGGAGCUAGCGUUGUUCGGAAUUACUGGGCGUAAAGGGCGCGUAGGCGGCUUUAUAAGUCAGAUGUGAAAUCCCUGGGCUUAACCUAGGAAUGGCAUUUGAUACUGUAGGGCUAGAGAUCGAGAGAGGAUAGUGGAAUUGCGAGUGUAGAGGUGAAAUUCGUAGAUAUUCGCAAGAACACCGGUGGCGAAGGCGGCUAUCUGGCUCGAUACUGACGCUAAGGCGCGAAAGCGUGGGGAGCAAACAGG